GGCUCUCAAGUCGCUUUUUUGCUGGCAGAGCAUCGCACUCAUAAUGCGAGGGUCCCCUGUUCGAGUCAGGGCAUAGCCACCA
rnacentral:tRNA from 1 species